ACGGAGGGUGCAAGCGUUAAUCGGAAUCACUGGGCGUAAAGCGCGCGUAGGCCGCCUUUUAAGUCGGACGUGAAAGCCCUCGGCUCAACCGAGGAACUGCGUUCGAAACUGGGAGACUUGAGUCCUGGAGAGGGUGGCGGAAUUCCGGGUGUAGCGGUGAAAUCCGUAGAUAUCCGGCGGAACACCGGUGGCGAAGGCAGCCACCUGGACCGGUACUGACGCUGAUGCGCGAAAGCGUGGGGAGCAAACAG
rnacentral:rRNA from 1 species